rnacentral:rRNA from 1 species
UGAGGAAUAUUGGGCAAUGCCCGCAAGGGUGACCCAGCAACGCCGCGUGGAGGAUGAAUGUCGUAAGAUUGUAAACUCCUGUUAGAGGGGAAGAAUAGUACCGGCUGGACCGGUAUAUGACUGUACCCUCAGAGAAAGCCCCGGCUAACUACGUGCCAGCAGCCGCGGUAAUACGUAGGGGGCAAGCGUUGUUCGGAUUUACUGGGCGUAAAGGGCGCGUAGGCGGCGCGGUAAGUCACUUGUGAAAUCUCUGAGCUUAACUCAGAACGGCCAAGUGAUACAGCUGUGCUAGAGUGCGGAAGAGGCAACCGGAAUUCUUGGUGUAGCGGUGAAAUGCGUAGAUAUCAAGAGGAACACCUGAGGCGAAGGCGGGUUGCUGGGCCGACACUGACGCUGAUGCGCGAAAGCCAGGGGAGCAAACG